CCCGUGUUUAUUCCCUCGGUGCGGCAUGAAGUUUGCGCGAAAACACCAUUUGGCCAGACAUGUUAGUGAAAUCCACAAGCAGGAGAAACUUAACCCGUGUUUAUUCCCUCGGUGCGGCAUGAAGUUUGCGCGAAAACACCAUUUGGCCAGCCAUGAGAAGGCAUUCCAUAUGCAGAGGGAGACACCCUUCGCGUGUGGAUUCACUGGGUGCAGCAUGAAGUUCUCUUUAAAGCAUGAAAAGAAGGAGCAUCAGAAAUCUAUUGCUCACGUUGAGCUUUCCACUGGGAGGAUUAGAUGUCACUUCAAGGGCUGCACCCGGACAUAUACAAUGAAAAAUAUGCUUAUCAAGCACUAUAAGGAGCGGCAUGAGCAGGGACGAUAGGGCUGCGGCAAGAAGUUUUAUUACGAGCAAGCAAAGGACGACCAUGAGAGAACCGCGCAGCAUCUCAUAGAGGGCCUUAUGCCAGUGUCUUGAAGACGGCACAUUGCAGUCCGCUGACUUCUGAAUCUUUUG